UGGAAGGAAUGGAUGGCUACUUGCCAAAUAUAAUCCAGGAUGAUUAUCAUGCAUCCUUAGAUGCCUGCUCAUUGUCAGCUUGCAUGUGUACAUGGGACAAAGUCAGUUUUUAUCUGACAAAGGUAUCGCAGAGUGCUUUAUUUCUGAUACAGCUUCAACGCACACGGAGAUUGCGCGAAACAGCAUGCCCCCUCUCUGCUGGCCACGCCUCUCCGCAGCCUAGGGCCUCACGUCCGGACCGCGGGUGACGACAAAGGCAAAAACGAGGAGCGUGAUGAGCAUUACGCCGGCAUGGCGAAGAGGUACAAAGCAAGGAGCUGGCGGCGGCUCCAUCGUGCGCCGACGAAGCCUGCCAGGAGGAUGAGACCGUCCAGGAUGGACGGGCCACGCGCGCGUAAGCGAACCAGAUCCCCGAGGCUUACGAGGACGGCGCACAUGCCAGUGUCCGGUAUGUUGUUUAUCACGGCUCACCCCACCGAUGGCUGGAUGCUCAAGCUGUGCCGCCGCUGCUUUCCAUAUGCUUGUGUUGUUUCUGUGUCUGCUGUGGGUUCAGCGCGGAUCUGAAGGCUUCCUUCAUGGAUGAUGGAUGAUGUGAUGCCGAAUGCGAGGCUAAGAUACAACCUGAGGAGUCCAAUGAUCUGUAUUACCAGCUUCUUCAUGGAAGGAAUGGAUGGCUACUUGCCAAAUAUAAUCCAGGAUGAUUAUCAUGCAUCCUUAGAUGCCUGCUCAUUGUCAGCUUGCAUGUGUACAUGGGACAAAGUCAGUUUUUAUCUGACAAAGGUAUCGCAGAGUGCUUUAUUUCUGAUACAGCUUCAGCGCACACGGAGAUUGGGCGAAACAGCACGCCCCCUCUCUGCUGGCCACGCCUCUCUGCAGCCUCGGGCCUCACCUCCGGACCACUGGUAACGGCAAAGGAAAAAACGAGGAGCAUGAUGAGCAUUACGCCAGCAUGGCGAAGAGGUACAAAGCAAGGAGCUGGCGGCGGCUCCAUCAUGCGCCGACGAAGCCUGCCAGGAGGAUGAGACCGCCCAGGAUGGACGGGCCACGCGCGUGUAAGCGAACCAGAUCCCCGAGGCUUACGGGGACGGCGCACAUGCCAGUGUCCGGUAUGUUGUUUCUCACGGCUCACCCCACCCAUGGCUGGAUGCUCAAGCUGUGGCGCCGCUGCUUUCCAUAUGCUUGUGUUGUUUCUGUGUCUGCUGUGGGUUCAGCACGGAUCUGAAGGCUUCCUUCAUGGAUGAUGGAUGAUGUGAUGCUGAAUGCGAGGCUAACAUACAACCUGAGUCCUCCAUUAUGCAGAGACAUGAGGUACUAAUAACAUUGCCUUCUUGGAGUAAUAAAAUUUAAAAAAAGGAGUUCAAUGAUCUGUAUUACCAGCUUCGUCAUGGAAGGAAUGGACGGCUACUUGCCAAAUAUAAUCCAGGAUGAUUAUCAUGCAUCCUCAGAUGCCUGCUCAUUGCCAGCUUGCAUGUAUACAUGGGACAAAGUUAGUUUUUAUCUGACAAAGGUAUCGCAGAGUGCUUUAUUUGUGAUACAGCUUCAGCGCACACGGAGAUUGGGCGAAACAGCAUGCCCCCCCUCUGCUGGCCACGCCUCUCCGCAGCCUCGGGCCUCACCUCCGGACCGCUGGUGACGGCAAAGGCAAAAACGAGGAUCAUGAUGAGCAUUACGCCGGCAUGGCGAAAAGGUACAAAGCAAGGAGCUGGCGGCGGCUCCAUCAUGCGCCGACGAAGCCUGCCAGGAGGAUGAGACCGCCCAGGAAGGACGGGUCACGCGCGCGUAAGUGAACCAGAUCCCCGAGGCUUAUGGGGACGGCGCACAUGCCAGUGUCCGGCUUCCUUCAUGGAUGAUGGAUGAUGUGAUGCUGAAUGCGAGGCUAAGAUACAACCUGAGGUACAGGAGCUAUUUAUACAUUGUCACUUCCCAGUCAGUCAUUGCAGUCAUUAAUCUUGUUUUAGUCUUCCAUUAUCUAGAGACAUGAGCUACUAAUAAACUUGCCUUCUUGGAGUAAUAUUGUUUUAAAAAAAGGAGGUCAAUGAUCUAUAUUACCAGCUUCGUCAUGGAAGGAAUGGACGGCUACUUGCCAAAUACAAUCCAGUAUGAUUAUCAUCCAUCCUCAGAUGCCUGCUCAUUGUCAUCUUGCAUCUGUACAUGGGACAAAUCAGUUUUUAUCUGACAAAGGUAUCGCAGAGUGCUUUAUUUCUCAUACAGCUUCAACGCACACGGAGAUUGCGCGAAACAGCAUGCCCCC